rnacentral:rRNA from 1 species
GAUGAACGCUGGCGGCGUGCCUAAUACAUGCAAGUCGAGCGAACAGACGAGGAGCUUGCUCCUCUGACGUUAGCGGCGGACGGGUGAGUAACACGUGGAUAACCUAUCUAUAAGACUGGGAUAACUUCGGGAAACCGGAGCUAAUACCGGAUAAUAUAUUGAACCGCAUGGUUCAAUAGUGAAAGACGGUUUUGCUGUCACUUAUCGAUGGAUCCGCGCCGCAUUAGUUAGUUGGCAAGGUAACGGCUUACCAAGGCAACGAUGCGUAGCCGACCUGAGAGGGUGAUCGGCCACACUGGAACUGAGACACGGUCCAGACUCCUACGGGAGGCAGCAGUAGGGAAUCUUCCGCAAUGGGCGAAAGCCUGACGGAGCAACGCCGCGUGAGUGAUGAAGGUCUUCGGAUCGUAAAACUCUGUUAUUAGGGAAGAACAAAUGUGUAAGUAACUAUGCACGUCUUGACGGUACCUAAUCAGAAAGCCACGGCUAACUACGUG